CACAUACGGGUAGUCACUGAGAAGAGGACAGCUGGCUACAAAUAUCAACAGGCUUUAACGGUCUUCUUUCCUUCAAGUCCAGUUCUUUGAAAGUCCAAAUUUGCUCUGAACUGACUUCAAGCAAGUGCCCACUCUCCAACAAAUUACUGAGGCUGGAGGAUAAAGACACAAAUUGGCCAAACUUGGAUUACCUGCCUUCUGCAUCUUAAAGGUAGGACCAGCUCAGAGAGUAAAGACUGAGAAUAUGAACAAAUGAUUUUCCAGAGAAAAUUAAGGAGUCAGUCCCAACUAUAAAUUUAAGAGGAUCACGGAAACACCCACAAACUUAUGAGGAUCACAGAAAACACCCCUACACCAACUUAUAGCCAAUCUAUUCAACGUGCAUUGUUAGCAGGAGGAGAUUUUUCAGCUUUUGAAGUCUGCAUACCUUCAAGUAAAUUCUUCAAAAACAGCCAAGACAUUUUAAGAUGAGGAGCUACAGAACAGUGCUCAAGAUGAGACUUUAUUUCCCCGCAUUAAUGCAAUGGCCUUAUUCU
rnacentral:lncRNA from 1 species